rnacentral:misc_RNA from 1 species
ACCCCGAUCCCAAGCACCAAGGAGCCGACGAUUUGGAUCAAGUCCUACAUCCCAAGCACCAAGGUGCCUGGUUGAUUUGGAUCAUGAUCCUGAUCCGGAGCUCCAGGGCGCCGAGGAUUUCGAUCAAGAUCCCGAUCUAAAGCACCAAGGAGCCUAGGAUAUGGAUAAAGACCCCGAUCUGAAGCGACAAGGAGGAAAGGAUUUAGAUCAAGACUCUGAUCACAAGCACCAAGGCGCCGAGGAAUUGGAUCAAGAUCAAGUAGGCUAUGUUAUUUUAUGUUUCCCACACCGUUCAGGGCAUUUUGGUGGUUGUAUCGGCUUUUUGUUGCUUGCUUGGUGUUAGUGCCAAGGGAGUGGCUGGAAGCUAGGUCGUCCUCUGGAAUGCUUGUUGUAAAGGUGUAUGAGUUGUGUUUGGCUUGUUACGGGUGUUUGUUGGCUGCUUGUGCAGGAACUUUCAUGCGUUCAAGCCUCUUCAGUUGUGCUACAAGGCCUUGUUUGUCUUGUGCUUACGGUGGGUUUCCUGUGUUGCAUACCUAAUCAAGGGCAUCGUAUGGCUCGAUCGAAGUACAUAUUCGUAACGCGCUGCUUGCGGCGUUGAACGAACCUCGAAGCGGUCUCUGUGGCCCAUGUUGUCUUUGCUCACGCAUGGAUGGCAUGGCCCUUGGGGCGUCGCUUGGUCUCUUGGAUAUGGAACCUGAUGAUGUGGGCGGUAGGGUCUUUGAUGAUUCUACCUUUGC